rnacentral:RNase_P_RNA from 1 species
GAGGAAAGUCCGUGCUAGCACAGACUGAGAUGUCUAUAGUGUUUGUGUAAGUAAAUAAAAAAUAAAACUUAACGAUUAGUGCGAACUAGUUGAUGGCGGAAAAUAAUUCUAAGUGAAUUCAAGAAUUUAUAUGAAUUAUUUUCCUUAAAGUGCCACAGAGACGAGCUUUAUAGAAAUAUAAAGUAUGAAACGCGGUAAACCCCUCAAGCAAGAAACCCAAAUUUCGGUAAGGGA